GUAGUCUCGCACAGAUGCAUAUCAAUAAGCGGAGGAAAAGAAACUAACAAGGAUUCCCCUAGUAACGGCGAGUGAAGCGGGAAGAGCUCAAAUUUGAAAUCUUAAAGGGUUUCCCUUUACGAAUUGUAGUUUAAAGAAGUGUUUUCUGUUGAGGUUUUGGUAAAAGUUCUUUGGAAUAGGACAUCAUAGAGGGUGAGAAUCCCGUAUUUGACCUUUACUUUCAACCUUUGUGAUACACUUUCAAAGGAGUCGGAUUGUUUGGGAAUGCAGUCCAAAAUGGGUGGUAAAUUUCAUCUAAAGCUAAAUAUUGGCGAGAGACCGAUAGCGAACAAGUACCGUGAGGGAAAGAUGAAAAGAACUUUGAAAAGAGAGUUAAACAGUACGUGAAAUUGUCAAAAGGGAAGCGUUUGACACCAGUGUUGUUUUUCUGAAAAUCAAUUAAAGAACUGUUUAUGCUAAGUUGUUUAGACUUUAUCAGCUAACUGUUUAGUUUUGAGCUUUUCUUUAAUGCACUUUUCAGUUAACAAGUCAACAUCAACUUCUUUUGCUGUAAAAAAGCUUGAGGAAGGUGGCUUGAGAUUCGUCUUAAGUGUUUAUAGCCUCUUGCCUAUGCAGUCGGAGAGAUUGAGGUCUGCAGCGUAGAUCCUUCGGGGCUAAAUGCAUUUGUGCUAAGUUAUAGCAUUUUAUAGACAACUUGUUGACUAUGAUUUGUCUUGUAGCUUACUCGCUUAUGUUAUUUUACCUACGCUUAGGAUGUUGAUCUGUAGUGCGUGCGC
rnacentral:rRNA from 1 species